rnacentral:rRNA from 1 species
GGUUUACUUAAAUACGAGUCUUUAACUUUUAAAGUAAUUUUUUUAAAAAAGGCGAAAAGAAAUUAACUGGUUUUUUUAACAUGGCUAUAGAGUAUUUAAGUCAAAACCCGAAUGGAGGUGAACUAUUCCUGCAAAGAUUGAAGUCAGGGGAAACUCUGAUGGAAGAUCGUUGGCGUUAUUGAUGUGCAAAUCAUUUGCUUUAUGUAGGUAUAGGUGCGAAAGACUCAUCGAACCUCCUAAUAGCUGGUUUCCUCCGAAGUUUCCCUCAGGAUAGCUGUAACAUUUUUAAAUAGUUAAGGAUAGUAGAGAAAUGGGUAGAGGUGUAGUGGAACUACGGUUCUGCAACUUAUUUCCAAACUUCGAACGUUCUUGAUAUAAAAAAUUACCUAAUAGGAAUUUUUUAUUUAAAUAUAUGUUAUAAGUGGGCUCUGACCGGUAAGCGGUCAUGGCGAAAAGGGAUGAACCUAACGUAUAAAUAAGGUGCCUAAAUUUACUAACAAUGAAACCAUUAAAAGAGUCCAUGUAUUUAGACAGCGGGUCGGUGCCCCUAAAAGCAGGUAUCCGUUAAUGAGUGUGUUAAAACUCCCCCGCCGAAUACUCUGGCCUUGAAAAUGAAUGGCGCAUAUAGUAAUACCGAUAUUAUACAUUAAAAUUAUUUAAAAAUUUUAAAAGUAGGGGGAUGUGGAUAUCUUAGAGAAUUUUUAAUUGUAAAAUUGAAUUGAAAGAUAUCUAUUACAGAUCCUAAUUGAAGUAGCGAUUAUCCAGGUUAAUCUCCUGGGGGCUGAUGAGGAGUAGGGUUUCUGGGCAACUUAAACGGACCCAGAGUUAGUCGAUCCUAAUCAAAUUAAAUUUAGAGAAAGGGAAUAUGAAUGAUAUUUCAUAACUAAAAUUAAUUUUUAAAUGGUGACAUUUUUUUAAACUUAUUUCCAUCAAUUAAAUACUGUUUAAUAGGGAUUUCUUUCCUAUAUAACUUUUUAAUUAAAACUUAAGAAACAGGUUAACUGGAGAAUAAAGUUUUAAUUUAGUAAAAUUAUAAUUUCGAUUAUAAUAACGGCUAUUUAAAUGAUCCAUGAAACAAUAAGUUUAUUUUUUCAAAAAUUAAUUUAAUCGUACCGAUAACCGCAUCAGGUCUCCAAGGUGAGUAGCUUCUGGCCAUUGAGUAAUGGUAAUUUAGGGAAUUCGGCCAAUUAGAGCUGUAACUUCGGGAUAAAGCUUGGCUCUGAUGGAAAUCAGAACCGAUAGUUACAAGGAGAGCCCAACUGUUUAAUAAAAACUUAGUGUCGCGUCAUACCUUUAUAAGUAAUAAACGUGACAUGAAUCCUGCUCAGUGCUGUGUUUGUUAAACUGGAUUAAUCCAUUUAAGCGCCGGUAAAUAGCUGGGGUAACUAUGACUCUUAUCAAAGUAGCGAAAUACCUCGUCACUUAAUUAGUGACCUGCAUGAACGGAGCUAUGAGGUUCUCACUGUCCCAAAUUAUCACUCAGCGAACCAACAGUUGUGGGAACGGGCACAAAUUAUCCAGCGGGGAAAGAAGACCCUGUAGAGCUUCACUUUGGU